rnacentral:rRNA from 1 species
UUGAACGCUGGCGGCAGGCCUAACACAUGCAAGUCGAACGGUAACAGGAAACAGCUUGCUGUUUCGCUGACGAGUGGCGGACGGGUGAGUAAUGUCUGGGAAACUGCCUGAUGGAGGGGGAUAACUACUGGAAACGGUAGCUAAUACCGCAUAACGUCGCAAGACCAAAGAGGGGGACCUUCGGGCCUCUUGCCAUCGGAUGUGCCCAGAUGGGAUUAGCUAGUAGGUGGGGUAACGGCUCACCUAGGCGACGAUCCCUAGCUGGUCUGAGAGGAUGACCAGCCACACUGGAACUGAGACACGGUCCAGACUCCUACGGGAGGCAGCAGUGGGGAAUAUUGCACAAUGGGCGCAAGCCUGAUGCAGCCAUGCCGCGUGUAUGAAGAAGGCCUUCGGGUUGUAAAGUACUUUCAGCGGGGAUGAAGGGAGUAAAGUUAAUACCUUUGCUCAUUGACGUUACCCGCAGAAGAAGCACCGGCUAACUCCGU